rnacentral:rRNA from 1 species
AGUUUGAUCCUGGCUCAGGACGAACGCUGGCGGCGUGCCUAACACAUGCAAGUCGAGCGGAGACAGUGAGUAGCUUGCUAUGAGCUGUUUUAGCGGCGGACGGGUGAGUAACGCGUGAGCAACCUUUCCCAGACAGGGGAAUAACACACCGAAAGGUGUACUAAUACCGCAUAAGACCACGGGAUCACAUGUUCUGGGGAAAAAAUUUUUCGGGUGGGGGCGGGCUCGCUCCGAUUAGGUGUGUGUGAGAGUACCGCCCCACCAAGCCGAAUAUUGGUACCCGACUUGAGAGGUUAUCGCCCACUUGGGGAUUGAACCCGGCCCAAAUUCCUACGGGGGGCACCAGGGGGAAUUUUGGGCAAUGGAGGAAAUUUUGACCCAGCAACGCCGCGUGGAGGAAGAAGGUUUUCGGAUCGUAAACUCCUGUCCUUGGAGACGAGUAGAAGACGGUAUCCAAGGAGGAAGCCCCGGCUAACUACGUGCCAGCAGCCGCGGUAAUACGUAGGGGGCAAGCGUUGUCCGGAAUAAUUGGGCGUAAAGGGCGCGUAGGCGGCUCGGUAAGUCUGGAGUGAAAGUCCUGCUUUUAAGGUGGGAAUUGCUUUGGAUACUGUCGGGCUUGAGUGCAGGAGAGGUUAGUGGAAUUCCCAGUGUAGCGGUGAAAUGCGUAGAGAUUGGGAGGAACACCAGUGGCGAAGGCGACUAACUGGACUGUAACUGACGCUGAGGCGCGAAAGUGUGGGGAGCAAACAGGAUUAGAUACCCUGGUAGUCCACACUGUAAACGAUGAAUGCUAGGUGUAGGGGGUAUCGACCCCUUCUGUGCCGCAGUCAACACAAUAAGCAUUCCGCCUGGGGAGUACGGCCGCAAGGUUGAAACUCAAAGGAAUUGACGGGGGCCCGCACAAGCAGCGGAGCAUGUGGUUUAAUUCGACGCAACGCGAAGAACCUUACCAGGUCUUGACAUCCACUUAAACUUACAGAGAUGUAAGGUGUGCUUGCACAAAGUGAGACAGGUGGUGCAUGGUUGUCGUCAGCUCGUGUCGUGAGAUGUUGGGUUAAGUCCCGCAACGAGCGCAACCCUUAUCUUCAGUUACUAACGCGUGAAGGUGAGGACUCUGAAGAGACUGCCGGGGACAACUCGGAGGAAGGUGGGGACGACGUCAAAUCAUCAUGCCCCUUAUGACCUGGGCUACACACGUGCUACAAUGGCCACGACAGAGAGAAGCGAAAUCGUAAGGUAGAGCGGAACUCAAAAAAGUGGUCCCAGUUCGGAUUGUGGGCUGCAACCCGCCCACAUGAAGUCGGAGUUGCUAGUAAUCGCGGAUCAGCAUGCCGCGGUGAAUACGUUCCCGGGCCUUGUACACACCGCCCGUC